rnacentral:rRNA from 1 species
UGGGGAAUAUUGCACAAUGGAGGGAACUCUGAUGCAGCGACGCCGCGUGAACGAAGAAGGCUUUCGAGUCGUAAAGUUCUUUUAUAUGGGAAGAUAAUGACGGUACCAUAAGAAAAAGCCCCGGCUAACUACGUGCCAGCAGCCGCGGUAAUACGUAGGGGGCUAGCGUUGUCCGGAAUCACUGGGCGUAAAGGGUUCGCAGGCGGAAAUGCAAGUCAGGUGUAAAAGGCAGUAGCUUAACUACUGUAAGCAUUUGACACUGCAUAUCUUGAGAAGAGUAGAGGUAAGUGGAAUUUUUAGUGUAGCGGUGAAAUGCGUAGAUAUUAAAAAGAAUACCGGUGGCGAAGGCGACUUACUGGGCUCAUUCUGACGCUGAGGAACGAAAGCGUGGGUAGCAAACAGG